ACAAGGUUUCCGUAGGUGANCUGCGGAAGGAUCAUUAUCGUAACAAAAUGUGUGAGGCAUCCAAAGGCUGUCGCUGACCUUUGACACAAAGGUCGUGCACGCCAGAGGGUGUCCUCUCGCAUAAAAUCCAUCUCACCCUUUUGUGCACCACCGCGCGGGCACCCUCUGGGAUCAAACCGAUCCAGGAGGGGGCUUGCGUUUUCACACAAACCCCUUUUUAAAAGUGUAGAAUGACCCCCAUUUUUGCGAUAACACGCAAUCAAUACAACUUUCAACAACGGAUCUCUUGGCUCUCGCAUCGAUGAAGAACGCAGCGAAAUGCGAUACGUAAUGUGAAUUGCAGAAUUCAGUGAAUCAUCGAAUCUUUGAACCGCACCUUGCGCCCCUUGGUAUUCCGAGGGGCACACCCGUUUGAGUGUCGUGAAAAUCUCAACCUUCUCGGUUUCUUCUGGACACCGAAGGAGGCUUGGACUUUGGAGGCUUUUGCUGGCGUAUCUCNCCAGCUCCUCUCAAAUGAAUUAGCGGGGUCCUCUUUGCCGAUCCUCGACAUGUGAUAAGAUGUUUCCGUGUCUUGGUUUAUGGCUCUGUUGCUUUUGGGACCCGCUUCUAGCCGUCUCGUCGAGACAACGUUUGAGCGUGUCUCCCUUCUCGGGAAACACUCUCAGNNNNACCCANNCGAACCCUUGACCUCAAAUCGGGUGAGACUACCCGCUGAACUUAAGCAUAUCAAUAAGCGGAGGAAAAGAAACUAACAAGGAUUCCCCUAGUAACUGCGAGUGAAGCGGGAAAANCUCAAAUUUAAAAUCUGGCGGUCUUU
rnacentral:rRNA from 1 species